rnacentral:rRNA from 1 species
AUACGGAGGAUGCAAGCGUUAUCCGGAUUUAUUGGGUUUAAAGGGUGCGUAGGCGGUUUGCUAAGCGGGAGGUGAAAUGCCGGCGCUCAACGUCGGAAGUGCCUCCCGAACUGGUGGACUUGAAUGACUCUGCCGUGGGAGGAAUGUGUAGUGUAGCGGUGAAAUGCUUAGAGAUUACACAGAACACCGAUUGCGAAGGCAUCUCACGAAGGGUUGAUUGACGCUGAGGCACGAAAGCGUGGGGAUCAAACAGGAUUAGAUACCCUGGUAGUCCACGCAGUAAACGAUGAUGGCUAACCGCUGGAUCCAUCGGUUCAGUGGCCAAGCGAAAGCGAUAAGCCAUCCACCUGGGGAGUACGACCGCAAGGUUGAAACUCAAAUGAAUUGGCGGGG